rnacentral:rRNA from 1 species
UACAGAGGGUGCGAGCGUUAAUCGGAAUUACUGGGCGUAAAGCGUGCGUAGACGGUUAUUUAAGUCGGGUGUGAAAGCCCCGGGCUCAACCUGGGAAUUGCAUUCGAGACUGAAUAGCUAGGGUACGGUAGAGGGAAGUGGAAUUUCCGGUGUAGCGGUGAAAUGCGUAGAUAUCUGGAGGAACACCGGUGGCGAAGGCGGCAUCCUGGACCGGCAUUGACGCUGAGGAGCGAAAGCCAGGGGAGCAAACGGGG